rnacentral:lncRNA from 7 species
UUAAUUUGGAGCGUGAUGUAGCACAGAUUGGUAGGCUAGUUCAUACCAACAUGACAAAGCAGAGUGUGGAGUGCAAUCCUCAGCCACAAAAGCUGGUCGUGAAUCAUGCUAGAGUCGGUCACGACGAGCAAGUAAACAUCGGAAUAAUCUUGUCACCAGAACACACGUCUACGAACACACGUCUACUAGAUUAAUAAUACGCUGGACACUGGCAUGGAUAUUGCUGAAAACGAUUAGAAAUUGAAGUGUGGUUCUACUGACUACAAUUAAAAACGCAUGGUUUGAGGCUGGCUAUCUGCUCCAGUCCGGGCUGACGUGACAGGAUCGGAGUUGGUCUCUCCCCGGGGCCGGGCCCGCCGGCCGGGAAGCCUGGCACGAGAGGUUUUCUCUCACGUACGCAAAGCCUAAUCCUGCCGUCCUGCGUGAGCUGAUUAACCGGGCCAUGCGUGUACGUGAUAAACAAAAGAUAUAGGGGCCGGCCGGGCAUAUAUAUCCAUGGCUGUGUUCUGUAGCACUAAAGUGAUGAGUGCCGUGGCUGUAUGUUGACACAUGUCUUCAUGUAUAACCAAAAACUAUAGGGGCUUCCAAUUUUUGUUGACAGGAAUCGAAACGUAUUGAUGUAGUCACGUGUGAAACGCGUAGGGUAGGGGUAGAUAUGUUCCUCCCUCUCGUCGUCUAACAACCACAUUGUUACCUUCCAAAUG